ACGCGGGGCAUGCUUUACACAUGCAAGUCGAGCGGCAGCGCGGGGGCACCUGGCGGCGAGCGGCGAACGGGUGAGUAAUGCAUCGGAACGUGUCCCGUAGUGGGGGAUAACCCGGCGAAAGCCGGACUAAUACCGCAUAUGCUCUACGGAGGAAAGCGGGGGAUUCGCAAGAACCUCGCGCUAUGGGAGCGGCGAUGUCCGAUUAGCUUGUUGGUGGGGUAAUGGCUUACCAAGGCGACGAUCGGUAGCUGGUCUGAGAGGAUGAUCAGCCACACUGGGACUGAGACACGGCCAGACUCCUACGGGAGGCAGCAGUGGGGAAUUUUGGACAAUGGGGGCAACCCUGAUCCAGCCAUGCCGCGUGAGUGAAGAAGGCCUUCGGGUUGUAAAGCUCUUUCGGCCGGAACGAAAUCGGGGGCGUGAAUAACGUUUCUGGAUGACGGUACUGGAAGAAGAAGCACCGGCUAACUACGUGCCAGCAGCCGCGGUAAUACGUAGGGUGCGAGCGUUAAUCGGAAUUACUGGGCGUAAAGCGUGCGCAGGCGGUUCUGCAAGUCAGAUGUGAAAUCCCCGGGCUUGACCUGGGAACUGCGUUUUGAAACUACGGAGCUAGAGUGCGGCAGAGGGGGGUGGAAUUCCACGUUGUAGCAGUGAAAUGCGUAGAUAUGUGGAGGAAAAACCGAUGGGAAGGCAGCCCUGGGCAGAAAUUGGAGCUCAGGCACGAAAAGCGUGGGGAGCAAAAGGAUUAGAUACCUGGUAGUCAGCCUAAG
rnacentral:rRNA from 1 species